rnacentral:rRNA from 1 species
GGCGGACGGGUGAGUAACACAUGGGUAACCUGCCUGUAAGACUGGGAUAACUCCGGGAAACCGGAGCUAAUACCGGAUAGUUCCUUGAACCGCAUGGUUCAAGGAUGAAAGACGGUUUCGGCUGUCACUUACAGAUGGACCCGCGGCGCAUUAGCUACUUAGUGGGGUAAUGGCUCACCAAGGCGAGAUGCGUAGCCGACCUGAGAGGGUGAUCGGCCACACUGGGACUGAGAACACGGCCCAGACUUCUACGGGAGGCAGCAGUAGGGAAUCUUCCGCAAUGGACGAAAGUCUGACGGAGCAACGCCGCGUGAGUGAAGAAUGGUUUUCGGAUCGUAAAGCUCUGUUGUUAGGGGAAGAACAAGUGCGAGAGUAACUGCUCGCACCUUGACGGUACCUUACCGAGCAGACACGGCUAACUACGUGCCAGCAGCCGCGGUAAUACGUAGGUGGCAAGCGUUGUCCGGAAUUAUUGGGCGUAAAGGGCUCGCAGGCGGUUUCUUAAGUCUGAUGUGAAAGCCCCCGGCUCAACCGGGAAGGGUCAUUGGAAACUGGGAAACUUGAGUGCAGAAGAGGAGAGUGGAAUUCCACGUGUAGCGGUGAAAUGCGUAGAGAUGUGGAGGAACACCAUGUGGCGAAGGCGACUCU